AGGAUGAACGCUGGCGGCGUGCUUAACACAUGCAAGUCGAACGAUGAAGGCUGGAGCUUGCUCUGGCUGGAUUAGUGGCGAACGGGUGAGUAACACGUGAGUAACCUGCCCCAGACUCUGGGAUAAGCGCUGGAAACGGCGUCUAAUACCGGAUACGAGCUUCCACCGCAUGGUGAGGAGCUGGAAAGAAUUUCGGUCUGGGAUGGACUCGCGGCCUAUCAGCUUGUUGGUGAGGUAAUGGCUCACCAAGGCGACGACGGGUAGCCGGCCUGAGAGGGUGACCGGCCACGACUGGGACUGAGACACGGCCCAGACUCCUACGGGAGCAGCAGUGGGGAAUAUUGACACAAUGGGCGCAAGCCUAGACUGCAGCAAACGCCCGCGUGAGGACGAAGGUCCGUUACGGU
rnacentral:rRNA from 1 species